GCAGCCUCGCGGACCAUAUCGUAUCGCGACACGGUCCGAUUUUGGUGAACACCGUACCUCUGACUUUGGCGCAGCCGGACUCGGUGACAUCGGACUUGGAACGAGGAACUUCGAAUGAUAAGGCACCUGUCUAUUUGAAGGUAAAGCUGCUAUCGCGAGUUGCCUUCGAGAUUAUUUUUCUCGUUAGUGGACAUUAGAUAACGACUACCCACGUCACUAUCCAAGUUGGCGGCGUCAGCCAUUACGAGUCUUAAGAAUUUGGGAGGAGAUACUCGCCGACGACCUGGAUGGAUGGUUUAAUUGGGAAGCAUCCGUCUAACAAGCGGAAGAUUCGGAUUCGAAUCCCGGUCCGACAACCCGAUCCGCCGAAUAUUUUUCUCCAGACAGUGGUACGGACAGUCGUCCGUUAGCGAGAGAUACUUUCGAGAGUAAAUUCGCGAUAGUUUUACUCUCGAAUGGAUAUCUACCUGAAAAGACUUGUUGCUGGCUGUAGAUAUCGCUGAUGGAGUACCGCUGAUUUUCUUCCGUUUUUGAUGCAUGAAGAAAAAUCGGACUUUGGUCGCUGGGAUUUGAACUCGUUCGUAACCUAAGGCGCUAACCACUGCGCUGCCGUUAGUGUCGAGGGAUGGUAUUUGCUUGUCGAGUGCCACCACAAUUUGAUUAAGGAAAUGGCACAAAGGCAAAGGAACGCCGUUCGCGUCUCCGAGGAUACAACGUGUCUCAACCAAGGUGCAUUGCAGUCCUGUAAUUGGACACCACUAAUGCACCUCAACCUCGUUUGUCGAACGUGAAGGGAAUGAAAAGGAAGAAACAGGAAAGAUCGAGCAGCCGCAAAGAACGAGAGGGAAAGAAGGAAAAAGAGGAAGGAAGGAUGGAUGGAAAGGAGAAAAUGAAAAAAAAGUGUAAGUCGAUACGGAAGGCGUCGUUAUUUGGUUUAUUCGUUCAUCCGAUCUGUUUCCCCUUUGGCUCGCUAGUUUCUACGGUGCUAGUAUAUUUUUGUUUCCUCGUUUGAACCUUCUCAUGCUUUAUUUACCGAAUACUUGUAUUUAUACUGCACGAUAUAAAGAGAAACUUUAAUUGGCCAAUUUAAUGAAAAUUUUCGGAAUUUGAAAUGUAAUGUAGUGUCGACACAAAAUCAGACGAGCAUUUCAUACGAAAUUAAUUUGUACAUCGACUUAUCGUGAUAUGAAUUGAGCAGUCCGAGAUUAAUCGCGUGU